CUCCUGGGGGAAGCCCAGCAGCUGAUGGGGGACAAGGUGAGCAGCUGCAUUAGACUCAGGAGAUUGGGGCGGGGUCCAGGCCUCAUUCCCAGCCUAUAGCCAUUCCCUGGCCUGGCAGCAAGGAAACUGGUGGGGAAUGAGAGUGAGAGCAGGUGCUACUGGAAAGGGAAAUGAAUUCACCUUCAUGAGCAGGAGGGAGCCAGCUUGUCCCCGGAGCAGCUCUAACCCAGCUGUUUAGCAAGGCUAAUUAAUGACCAGCAUUGCCUCAUCAUGGACUUAUGUUCUCGGGACACAGUGCUGUCUCUCUUGGGAAGGGCAGCAGAGUCCUCUAAGUGACCCCUGCGAGGCUCUCCUUUCACCUGAACCACCACCCAGAGUUGCUCCGAUCACUGGCAGCCUGGAGGCCAAGGACUGAUGGGUGAUGGCGACUGACCAGACCCUGGGAUCUGUUACAGCCUCCCCGACAGGCGCAUCCUGUAGCUGAGCCAUGUCAGGGAGCAGUGGGGACAGGUCACCUCGUCUCAUCCAAGCAAGCAAUGCUGGCUCUCAAAGAGGCUUAGAUGGAAGACCCCACUCCCUCAUAGAGGAAGGGGCUCCCCAGAGAUGUCCUCAAACCUGGACUCCUGAGAGCGUUUCUGGCAGGAGGCUCCACCCCUCGGACAUAAAGGGAUCAUCAGGUAGUCUGUCCACAUGGCGUCUCCGGUCUCCAACUCCACUUCCCGCAGCAGAGCAAACAAAUCCAUCAGCUCCCAGAAUCCCAACUCUUUGACUUCCUUCCACUCAGCAGUGGGGUUUCUCCAGCCCCCGCACCACACCUGUCAGCCUCUGAAUGAUGAAGAGCCUGAAGGUCAGAGUCACCAGAAGAAGCAAACUCCAGUUCCAGGCAGUGGGGCCUGUGUGUACUCAGCCCCUCUGGAAACCAGGUCUGAAAUGGGAAGCAAGGACCCCAGGCCAAUAACAGUAGGAGUGCAGGAGAGCAGGCCUGUAACAGGGUGCUCUCCCCUGGGCUGCAGAGCCAGGGGCCUAGCCAAGCUGAUUAGAGAAUGAGCCCUAACUGAGAGGCACCAUGUACCUCCCCCUAAAGAGCUAGACUUCAUUGGUGACACAGUCCAGCUGUGGUAUCAACAGGUAGGAGAAUGAGGUAGUUCAGAGCAGCAAGGAAACUUGAGAAGAGAGGUAGGAAGUGCCCUGGGAAACCUACAGCAAAGAAAAAGACGCAGACCUAGCUGUUGGGUACAGGGUCCUGGUCUGCUAACAAUGUCAGGGUGGGAUUCGGUUCCUCUACUGGCCUCAAAGAAGGAGGUGUACACACACCCAGAGAGGGUUACCAAGCCCAGCAAGGGGGCUGCAGGCUGAGCAAGAGCCCCAGCGAUGGUUGAAGGACUUCUUUCUGUGGAAAGACCUCUUGGGACUUCUAGUGUGAGACAAGCUGGGCCACAGACGGGUGGUGACCUGGCCAAAGGGCUGAAUUACCAGGCAGAGAAACUGCCAUGGUGCUGGAGCGACCAUGGAUAGGGGACGCUAGUCCAGCAAGAGAGCUGUGAUGCCAUGCCUGGCCGCCAGGGUCGUACGUAAUGAAGAGUAGAUUUGUUUAUGAUUGGCAUAGUCAGGAGGAUUGAAUUCUACUUGUGAUCCAUGAGGACUGAUAGAAGUCUUGGUUGCUGAAGGAAGGCCUGUCCUCCCAAGUGGGUGUAUCGAGGGACCGAGCCAGUUGCUGGAUUUCCCAUUUCAGUUCCAGGGACUGGUUAAGCAGCCAAAGCAGGUCUAGGGGUUCCUCCAGCAGCUCCUAGAAAACCAACAGGAGCAGAAGGAAGUGCAGGCAGAACUACAGAUGCAGCAGAAAGCAAGACCUGUGAGAGAUCUUGCAAAGGGAAUGCCCAUGGACAAAAAGAGCAGACACGGAGAGCAUGCCUGGGCUGUGCGGAGAAGGUUAGCCGAGGAAAGCAGGGCAUGAGAAAGUGUACAAGCGUGGCCUAAUGCCAAGAUGGGGACAAGAGUUCUUUGUUUUGAGUGCAGAGAAGCAGGCCAUAUCAAAAGACAUGGCCUGCUUAGGAAAUUGCUGAGUGGCAAAAGGAGGGGUCAGGGCCCCAAGAAGUUAGAAAAGAAAGGAGAAGUUGUCCUCUGACACAAACCCCAUGAGGCAGGUAACGUGGAGGUGGCAGGGAUGGCCAUGGACUUUGCAGACCCUCCACCAACACACCUUUUCAGGUGCUGCAGGGAGGUGAAGGACAAAAUGGUUGGCCCAGAGAUGAAGCAGACUGGAGUAGGGACAAACACAAGGGUGGAGCAGACCAUGGUGGGCUCUCCGACUCUGAUGGAAAAGAUUUUUGCGUCUGCAGCGGCAGUAGCGAAAAGACUACAGAAGAAGCUAAAGGCUUCAGAAUAGGCUCUCCAAGCAGCUGUUAAUGGGAAUGAGUGGCUGCAGGAAGAGCGUUGGGAUACUGCAGAAGAGGAGGAUUGCCUCUUCAUUCUGGCUCUGUCCCAGCCUCUCACACAGAUAUAUCCUGCAGCCAGCCCAACUCAGGGAGCAGUGGGAACAGGUCAUCUCAUCCUGUCAAACCAAGCAACAGGGUCCCAUUGAGGCUCAGAUGGAAGAUCCCAUGCUCCUCCUGGAGAGGAUGUGUCCAGGAUCCUGGAGACUGUUUCCUGCAGCAGGAGGUUUGAGCAGGAGAGAUCACUCACUGUCACGACCCAGGGGUCUUCAACCCAGGUCUGCGGGGUUCAUGGGAGCAGCCACGCUCCAACCCUCCACCUGGAAGUCUGCUGAAAAUUGCUUCGCUAGGACCCAUGAAGCUCCGCCCCAAUUUGAGGCUCCACUCCUGAGGUCCUAUUGGAAGAGUCCCAGAAAAGCUAAUUGGCCCCCUGGCCCUGCUUAAGACAGCAGCAGGAACAGGAAGCUGAGUGAAAACCAGGGCUGCUCCCUGUUCUGGACCGUGUGCUGCCUAUUUCUGCUGCCGCUCCCCUGGCUUGGUUUCCUGUCAUCCGAUUUGUGGUUGUGAUCGCAAGUUUGUCUUUUGCUGCUGAUCUUCCAGGAUCCUGACCUAGCUGACUCUCCACUCCUGUCAUGGGAGUGUGGACCCUGGCUCUGACCAGUAGGUCUGGCUGCCCUUGACCCAGCCGUGACAUUGACUUUUGUCCAAUUUCUCCAAUACCCUCUCUUGCUCUUCAGCAAGAUACACUAGUCCCUUGGCUCCCAAAGUCCUAGUUGCCCGCUAUUCAAGGGCUGAGGGGCAGUGCUUGUAUUGCCCCCACCCCCAACCCCACCCCAGCUACUUUUCCGAUGGGAAUCUCCCUAGAGCUGAGGAGAAAUCUGCUCCUCUCUUAGGAUCAGUCCCAGCAGUAAUUCCACCCCCCCUGGCCUCAGCUCAGCUACUUUGUUUACCUGGGUUCAGGGACCACUUUUGAAGCCCUUAGCAUGUGGGUGGAGGUGGGAGCAGAGGCUGAAGCUCUAGCAGUUUCCACCAAAGAGCACCACCCUAUCUUUCUAUGGUCUGGCUAGGGCUCACCAUCCAUGUUCGAGCUGAACACCAGAUGGGAGCUGAUAGAUUGUCCUUGACGGGCAAUGUUCUUGUGUGUGAUGGAGCUGUGUGUCAGAGAGGGCCAGGAGCAGAUGCACCACGCCUGGCCAGGACCGGGCUAAACAGCCUGUAAUGUUAGACAGUCAGCCAGUGAGGCCAGUUUGCAGAAUGUGGAAGAGCCCUUUGGCGAUGCGUUGGAGGAUUCACCAUGGAGGUGGCAGCAGCUGCAGUGCCUGGGGUCCCCAUGGGCCAAGUCUCCACUCCUGGCACUGCAGGCUAAUCCCCCACUGCUCUCAGUGGGGCUUGGCUUUAGCUGCGGGGCCUGUGUGCCUAGACAGAGGAGUCAGGUAUUUCCAUCAGGCUGCUCAAUGGCAAAUGCGGCCACCCAAAGAAGUGAAGAAGAAUGGAAGUAAAAUAGCAAAGCUGGACCAUCCGCUGAGCUGCUGCUGCAAUCAAGUGAGCAGAGGCAGGGAGAGAAGAAGGAGAACUCAAAGGUGGCUGGUGGCAGUAGGGAGGAGAAGCAGUUUGGGAACCAGGAGAGUAGAAAUAAAUAGCUAAUGACAAAUACUGCGGGCAUUGUCUUGUGUGAUGAAGGGUUGAAAAGGGGUCUCUUUACUAUCACACUUAACUUUAAAAUAUCUGUGUAUGGUGAAAGGGCAGGUCUAUAAAAGUAACAGGUCACUCUAGGGGCUUGAUAUCCCAGAUUCUGACCCUAUUGCCUGCUUCUACCAGUGAUCUCAUCCCAGCAAAUCCCUCAGGUAGUAGAAGUAUUGAGCUCUUGUCCUCCUUUUCUGGACUAGCCCCCAGAAAAAGGACAUGAUGCAUGUGACCAAGGAAAUAGAGAGGCAGUGUUGCCUGUUAAUAUGGCUCUUGUGGGGGAGCACGGCAGGUUACUUUGGACUAGGUAGGAGCCACAUGUCUCCAAACCUGCACAUCCUGAGGCUCCAGAGACCUCUCUCCAGAUCCCAGAGCUUCCUCAGAGUCCUAAAGAGCCAGAUGGAAUCUGGCCUCUCUCCCCCCACCUCAGCAGUCCAGAAAAAGUUAGUUGUAGACAUGUUAUGUGUCCCUCUCCUGCCACACUCACCUGUUGGUGACUAAUGCAGUCCCAGAGUCCAGGCUCGGUGUCAUGCAUUCCUCUGGGCUAUGACAAGCAGGAGGAUGUGAGCUGCAAUGGAUCCUCCUGCGUAUGUGCUGACUGCGCAAUGUCUCUACUGCCAUAUCUGGUUUCCAGCCCACAU